rnacentral:rRNA from 1 species
UGGGGAAUAUUGCACAAUGGGCGAAAGCCUGAUGCAGCAACGCCGCGUGAGUGAUGAAGGUCUUCGGAUUGUAAAGCUCUGUCUUUUGGGACGAUAAUGACGGUACCAAAGGAGGAAGCCACGGCUAACUACGUGCCAGCAGCCGCGGUAAUACGUAGGUGGCGAGCGUUGUCCGGAUUUACUGGGCGUAAAGGGUGCGUAGGCGGAUGUUUAAGUGAGAUGUGAAAUACCCGGGCUUAACUUGGGUGCUGCAUUUCAAACUGGAUAUCUAGAGUGCAGGAGAGGAGAAUGGAAUUCCUAGUGUAGCGGUGAAAUGCAUAGAGAUUAGGAAGAACACCAGUGGCGAAGGCGAUUCUCUGGACUGUAACUGACGCUGAGGCACGAAAGCGUGGGUAGCAAACAGGAUUAGAUACCCUGGUAGUCCACGCCGUAAAACGAUGAGUACUAGGUGUAGGAGGUAUCGACCCCUUCUGUGCCGCAGUAAACACAUUAAGUACUCCGCCUGGGAAGUACGAUCGCAAGAUU